UAUCUCUGUAGAGUCUGCAUAUCAAUAAGCGGAGGAAAAGAAACUAACAAGGAUUCCCUUAGUAACGGCGAGUGAAGCGGGAAGAGCUCAAAUUUGAAAUCUUCAAGGUUUCUACCUUGACGAAUUGUAGUUUAAAGAAGUGUUUUCUGUUAGAUGAGUAGCAAAAGUUCCUUGGAAUGGGACAUCAUAGAGGGUGAGAAUCCCGUAUUUGGUUAUUCAUUCUAGCUUUGUGAUACACUUUCAAAGAGUCGGAUUGUUUGGGAAUGCAGUCCAAAAUGGGUGGUAAAUUUCAUCUAAAGCUAAAUAUUGGCGAGAGACCGAUAGCGAACAAGUACCGUGAGGGAAAGAUGAAAAGAACUUUGAAAAGAGAGUUAAACAGUACGUGAAAUUGUCAAAAGGGAAGCGUUUGACACCAGUGUUGUUUUUCCGAAAAUCAAUUACGAAUGGCUUGAUUUUGUGUUGUAUUGACCUUAUCAGCUUUCUUCACUUUUUUCGAGUCUUUCUUAAUGCACUUUUCGGUUAACAAGUCAACAUCAAUUUCUUUUGUUGUAAAAGAGUAUUCGGAAGGUGGCUCUCUUUUCGGAGAAAGUGUUUAUAGCCCUAUACUUCUACAAUCGGAGAGAUUGAGGUCUGCAGCGUAGAUCCUUCGGGGUUAGAUACACUUGUGCUAAGUUGUAGCUUUUCAUAGACAACUUGUUGACCAUGUUUAGUCUUGCGGCUUACUCGCUUGUGCUAUUUUACCUACGCUUAGGAUGUUGACUGAUAUGUAGUCGUA
rnacentral:rRNA from 1 species